rnacentral:lncRNA from 10 species
CACUUGGACUGGACUGGACCAGAGAGCAGCCCUUGGGCAGGGCAGGGAAGGCCAAGUGCAAAUGCUCAUCUUCUCUUCAUCCCAGCUGACCAUACCCUCAGCAAACUUCAACUGUUGGCUUUACAACUCCUACCUGAUGAUCCUGGAGACAGCCUCUACAUCUUUCUCCACACACUUCUCCUGAUGGAGCACAGGACUCCUGUAUCAUUCCCUGAGGAUUCAGAAAUUUGAUCAAAUAGAGAUUUUCAGGAAUUGCCUUCCAAUCAAUUUCCUGAGCAAAAAUCAUCACAGAAGAUUUCUGUGACCAAAUAUAUAGGGGUUUUUCUCCACCAAUAAGCAAUCAAUUCUGCAGUGGACAUCAUCUGGGAAUCCUCCAAUUCAACAUCUGACACUAUCCACCUGGAGAUAGCAUCAGAUCCCACAGGUUGAAGGCACAGUCUUCAUGACCACCUCCACUCUUCAGACACCAAUUUUAAGUCUGGGCCUCCAGAACAUCUGACCAACUGGGGUUCUCACAACCCCUCUUUGGAUUCAAUUAAUUUCCUGGAGUACCUCACAGAACUCAGGGAAACAUUUAUUUGUGUUUAUUUGUUUAUUGUAAAGGAUAUUUUAUAGACUACAAAUAAAGAGCCAGAGAUACUUAGGGUGAGGUCUGGAAGGGUCUUGAGUGUAGCAGUUUCUGCCUCCAUGGAGGUAGAGUGCACCACCCUUCUUACAUAUGGAUGAGUUCUUGUUCAUCUCCCUGUAGGUCUCCCCAUGUUUAGCUCUCUGGAAGCCCCUGAAUCCCGUCCUCUCAGGCCUUAUAUGGAGACUUCAUUGGAUAGGCAUGAUUGCAUCACGGACAACCAUGUCACAAUGUGACUGGACAAAAAGGGUAUGAUUUAAACUCAGCAAAGGCCAAACUGUUCAGAUUCUUCACUCCUUUCUGUGCAGCAUUCCUUCCUCCAGGGUAUGGGGCAGGAUCUUCUCUAGAAUGAGGGUCUUAUGACCCACAAUCAGAUUAGAGUCCUGUCUUGGAAAGGUGAAAGAAAGGAGGGCAGGAGGAGGUUAGAGGGAAAGAUUCUCUUUAUUGUAACAAAGGCUAUGGGAGUUUAACCCCAGGAACUGUAGAUGAAAAUUGUCAUAUUAUGAUAAAUCAAACAAAAACUGAGUUCUUGUAAUAGCUUUGAAAUAGUCUCAAAUGCUUCUAAAUAACACUGAUAUUAUAAAAUAGGUCUAAUGGGACAUUGAAAAGCCUGGUUGUUUCUGAUGUUAGGAUUAAUAAGUAAAAACAAAAAAGAAACUGAUUGGCACCUAAAUAUAAAUAUCCUGGUCAGGAUUUAAAAAAGAAUUCAUAUAAAUGAUACAACCACAUAUUUGAAAAUGUGCAAUAUGUAUUAUCCAGGUAUUAGCUGGAUCCAGGUAUUAGCUGGUAUUUCAGCUACUAUGGAGUAAUUACUUUGUCUUUCUUAUGGUUUCCAAAAUGUAGAUAAGGGAGUUUCACUGCAUCUUCUGGAAGCCAAGCCUGAGUUUUGCCAUCAUUACAUGAAUUCUGCCACAAAUCAGAAAUUUGCAUUAUUGGUAAAGCUACUCAAACAUAGCAAGCUAAUUAAUACAUUAUAUUGCAGGAGAGAGGCUUAGAGAAAUGAUUACAAUUACUUUCCAAAAUGUAAAAUCAAUCAUAAAUUAUCCUUACAAUUGCUUGAACUGAAACCAAGAAAUAAAGUAAAUUACUCAUCCUUUUAAGGCUGGUUGCAAUAAACUCACUUUCUCAGAUCUUUAUGGCUUACUAGUUUUUCUGUUUAUGUUCCUGACUUUAAGCUAAGUUACCACAGAGAUUCUGCAAAUAUGGGUUUGUUUGUAUGUUUGGAGAUAAUUGAAGUGGCUCUUUAAGAAGCAUAAAUUUGAAAAUGUAUUGCUUCAAGUUGCUUUGCAAGAUUCAUGCUGGGUCAUUAAAAGAGAAAAAAUUAAA